rnacentral:rRNA from 1 species
GAGUUUGAUCGUGGCUCAGAGUGAACGCUGGCGGCAGGCCUAACACAUGCAAGUCGAACGGCAGCACAGCAGUAGCAAUACUGUGGGUGGCGAGUGGCGGACGGGUGAGGAAUACAUGGGAAUCUGCCCUGUCGUGGGGGAUAACGUAGGGAAACUUACGCUAAUACCGCAUACGACCGAGAGGUGAAAGCGGCGGACCGCAAGGCGUCGCGCGAUUGGAUGAGCCCAUGUCGGAUUAGCUAGUUGGCGGGGUAAAGGCCCACCAAGGCGACGAUCCGUAGCUGGUCUGAGAGGGCGGACGGCCACACUGGGACUGAGACACGGCCCAGACUCCUACGGGAGGCAGCAGUGGGGAAUUUUUCGCAAUGGGCGAAAGCCUGACGAAGCAACGCCGCGUGGAGGAUGAAGGCCUU